GGGGGUAUAAAAGCCGAAGGACCCAGUCAAUCCUUCCACUUCCUCUCCAACUCUGCCCCAGAUGACGAAGAGAAGUUUUGAGACUACAUCCUGCCAAGGUGCAAGUCGGCACUGGGGAUGUUCAAGUUUUUCAUGACUGAUCAAGGAAGAGAAACAAAGUACAGUGGCAGGUUGACCUGCACUACAAACCUGAUGUACUCGUCGGCACUGAUGGUCUGUUCCCAAAGAGGGGAGAUUGACCAGAAACUGGGAGGAUGCUGUGUGGGUGUCUCAAGCCUCUUACAUGGAGACAUGGAAGAUGGAGGUGCAAAUGGAAGUCUAACAGAUGAUUGAACUGCCCCAGCAGCAUGACGAUGACUCUACUUAACUGAAGGUUCCUGGAUUGGGCCAUUUCAGAUGCUGCUGCUGUCUCACCAUGAAAUGUUUUCUGAGGAUGAGGUGCCUGGUAAAGCCUCUAUGGGGGAGCAAGAUGACCUGGAACACAAGGAUGUACACAAGUGAGGAAGGCGUGAUCUCUCUAUAAAGGGUCCAGAUGCUUGUGAAUUUAGGUUUCCCAAAGCUGUUCUCCCAGGUUUGCUGUGGGGUGCACACAUCUGUGAAUGCAACAGGUUUUGCAAAGCUGUUGAUCUCCCAAGAUUCUGCUCUGUGAAUGCAACAGACUCUUGAUGGAUCUGCUUCCAGCAUCUCUUGGCUUUUUGAUGGACUGGACCUCACCAAACACAGCUGCUGUUCACGGAAAGCUGAAGGUCGAAGCCAGUACGAGGCCCACCCUGUACAAUGUCCUCUGUAUUUCCAACUGAUGUAAUUUGUAGGAGUUUCAAAUAAAGGCUGAAGUACAACA